rnacentral:lncRNA from 1 species
UUGCAACAAUGCCUUCAGGUGCCCACUGCAUGCAAACACAUCCCCCAGGAGAGGGCUCCUCUAUGUUGGAAUAUGUACACAAGGCCUUCUAAAGUCUCCUGAAGCCAAUCAGCUAUGUAGAGUGUGCCCGAUAGACAAUGAUGGAGCUGGAAACUGAAGGACUUUGGAAGCAGGGAAAAAUCACGAGAUACCUGCAGUGAUCUUGGAAGGAGAAUUGGACACUAAAGUGAUCAAUAUGCAAGCCUGAGAGCCUGAGACCAAUAUAAAGAUUGAGAAAAACACCAGAAAUAUCUAGAACAUCACGACAACCAUCAACUGGGGUUUUCUUUCUGCCAUGAUGUACGUAAGAAGUGACAGCUGUUUCUCAAAAAGCCUGGUGGAUUCACAAGAUAUCUUGAUAUGCUUCAACUUCUUGGAGGCCACUUUUAUGUUAUAUUGUAAGAAAAUUGACUUCAUAGAGGCUCUUGUUGGCAUAUAAGCAGGGUGGACAUCCCCAAGACUCAACAGUAACAUUUGGAAUUAUGAAAAUGGGAAUAAUGCUUUAGCACUUCGUAUCAUAGAGCAUGGGAACAGCAAAGUUCUCUGGAUCUGUCAUGGAGAAAUUUACUGAAGACAUUUCUUAAAACAUAAAAGAAUGGAUACAAAAAAUGUGGCUCAUUUACACAAUGGAAUACUACUCACCUAUUCCGAAUGAGGACAUCCCAAGUUUUGCAGGCAAAUGGAUAGAACUAGAAAAUAUCAUCCUAAGUGAGUUAACUCAGACCCAAAAGGUCAUUCAUGAAAUGUACUCACUAAUAAGUGGAUAUUAGCCCCCAAAUUGUACAGAAUACCCAAGAUAUAGUCCACAGGACACCAAAAGAUCCACAAGCUGAAGGGCCCAAGUGAGGAUGCCUCAGUCCCACUUGACAGGAAGAAGAAAGCAAUCACAAGCAGGGAGGGAGGGACCUUGGAGGAAAAA